rnacentral:rRNA from 1 species
AACGAACGCUGGCGGCAGGCUUAACACAUGCAAGUCGAGCGCCCCGCAAGGGGAGCGGCAGACGGGUGAGUAACGCGUGGGAACGUACCCUUUACUACGGAAUAGCUCCGGGAAACUGGAAUUAAUACCGUAUGUGCCCUUCGGGGGAAAGAUUUAUCGGUAAAGGAUCGGCCCGCGUUUGAUUAGCUAGUUGGUGGGGUAAAGGCCUACCAAGGCGACGAUCCAUAGCUGGUCUGAGAGGAUGAUCAGCCACAUUGGGACUGAGACACGGCCCAAACUCCUACGGGAUGCAGCAGUGGGGAAUAUUGGACAAUGGGCGCAAGCCUGAUCCAGCCAUGCCGCGUGAGUGAUGAAGGCCUUAGGGUUGUAAAGCUCUUUCACCGAUGAAGAUAAUGACGGUAGUCGGAGAAGAAGCCCCGGCUAACUUCGUGCCAGCAGCCGCGGUAAGAC